rnacentral:rRNA from 1 species
GUCGAACGGAAAGGCCCUUCCGGGUACUCGAGUGGCGAACGGGUGAGUAACACGUGGGUGAUCUGCCCUGCACUCUGGGAUAAGCCUGGGAAACUGGGUCUAAUACCGGAUAGGACCACACACUUCAUGGUGAGUGGUGCAAAGCUUUUGCGGUGUGGGAUGAGCCCGCGGCCUAUCAGCUUGUUGGUGGGGUAAUGGCCCACCAAGGCGACGACGGGUAGCCGGCCUGAGAGGGUGACCGGCCACACUGGGACUGAGAUACGGCCCAGACUCCUACGGGAGGCAGCAGUGGGGAAUAUUGCACAAUGGGCGCAAGCCUGAUGCAGCGACGCCGCGUGAGGGAUGACGGCCUUCGGGUUGUAAACCUCUUUCAGUAGGGACGAAGCGAAAGUGACGGUACCUACAGAAGAAGGACCGGCCAACUACGUGCCAGCAGCCGCGGUAAUACGUAGGGUCCGAGCGUUGUCCGGAAUUACUGGGCGUAAAGAGCUCGUAGGUGGUUUGUCGCGUUGUUCCUUAAAACUCACAGCUUAACUGUGGGCGUGCGGGCGAUACGGGCAGACUAGAGUACUGCAGGGGAGACUGGAAUUCCUGGUGUAGCGGUGGAAUGCGCAGAUAUCAGGAGGAACACCGGUGGCGAAGGCGGGUCUCUGGGCAGUAACUGACGCUGAGGAGCGAAAGCGUGGGUAGCGAACAGGAUUAGAUACCCUGGUAGUCCACGCCGUAAACGGUGGGUACUAGGUGUGGGUUUCCUUCCUUGGGAUCCGUGCCGUAGCUAACGCAUUAAGUACCCCGCCUGGGGAGUACGGUCGCAAGACUAAAACUCAAAGGAAUUGACGGGGGCCCGCACAAGCGGCGGAGCAUGUGGAUUAAUUCGAUGCAACGCGAAGAACCUUACCUGGGUUUGACAUGCACAGGACGUACCUAGAGAUAGGUAUUCCCUUGUGGCCUGUGUGCAGGUGGUGCAUGGCUGUCGUCAGCUCGUGUCGUGAGAUGUUGGGUUAAGUCCCGCAACGAGCGCAACCCUUGUCCUAUGUUGCCAGCGGGUAAUGCCGGGGACUCGUAGGAGACUGCCGGGGUCAACUCGGAGGAAGGUGGGGAUGACGUCAAGUCAUCAUGCCCCUUAUGUCCAGGGCUUCACACAUGCUACAAUGGCCAGUACAGAGGGCUGCGAAGCCGCAAGGUGGAGCGAAUCCCUUAAAGCUGGUCUCAGUUCGGAUUGGGGUCUGCAACUCGACCCCAUGAAGUCGGAGUCGCUAGUAAUCGCAGAUCAGCAACGCUGCGGUGAAUACGUUCCCGGGCCUUGUACACACCGCCCGUCACGUCAUGAAAGUCGGUAACACCCGAAGCCAGUGGCCUAACCUUUUGGAGGAGCU